UGUGGUGGUGCGGGGUUUGCCAAAGUGUGGCCCCUCAAAUAUCUAUAAUUUCAGGCUGACAAAUUCAUAUUGAAAAUUUGGACAGAAACAAUCUCAUAGACGUAGUCACUCUUUCUCAAAUUGGUAAUUGGUCUAUAUUUCUAGUAAAAAAUUAAUUGAAAUUAAAGUAGGGCUAUAAUGACAUUUACAACAAAAUGGAAAUCAAUCAGCAGCCACUAAAAGAAGCAAUUGGAAUUUUUGGUGGAAAAUAAAUGGAAUUCAGAUGAAGAAACCUUAGGGCCAUUCAUGAAAUUCAUGCCCCAACAAAAUCCAAGUAACCUUUUUGUUUGUGCAUAUUUAUAUGUGGCUAUCUUCUUCAUCUUUCUUUGUAUUUCAGCAGUUGUUAAACUGAAUUCUCAUCUGAAAUCGCUGAUAAGGUUAGUUUAAGCUUUCAGAACUGUGAAAGGUUUCUUCUUUUUGACACCCCUUUCUCCUUAUAACCACUAAAUUUAUCUCCUGAUUUUGAUACAGAGAAUUUUAUUGAAGUUUAGUGAUUGGUUGAAUCGUAGCUCGCGAAUUGUGUCUCCUCUUCCCCUUCAAAUUACCUCAUAAAUUUUCACAUAACCCGAAGCCUCAUCCUUGGACUAACAAUUUUUCAGAACAAAGAUAUUAUUUUCCAGUAUUAGAAUGGAAUGCAUCCGAACAGAGCUGAAUGGUUAUAGAAUUAUCCUAUAGCCAAUGCCCACUUAGUUUAAGCUUAAGGUGUAGUUGUUGUAGUAGUUCAUGCUGGUACCUUUCUGUUGUUGUGUGUAGAGUUGUAGAUGAUGCUUGCUAGUAGAUAAAACCCUCCUUGUUGGAUUAUCUAUGAAGGGUGAAAGCAGAUAAUUGAUAUGAUUAUAAUGUAAAUGAACUAGUUCGUAGUGCCAAUUUGCAUAGAUUGCGCCUUUUUAGUUACUAACCAAUAGAGUUAAGGUUUUAGUUUGGGAGAAAUAUGUGCAGAAUGUGAGUGAAAGUCAAGUCGUUUACUGGUGUAUUGUGGAGAAGAAACAGAUAAAUUGAAGUCACGAAAAAAAAGGGAUAAUAUUUGUUUUCGUUUUGGUUUCCCUGUUUCACUUACUCAAGGAAACACAGAGUGAUAUUAAAGAGCUUAGAAAUUAGAUAGUCACCCUCUGCAACACUAACUUGAUAAAGCAGUAGAUUUUUUCAUUUCUGCAUAUUUCUUAAAUGCUUCUGAAGAAGGUAAGUAGGAAACAAACUUAUUCCAAAUUUCAUUGUAUUAUCUUUUGUUGUUGCUUCAAGGUGAGCAUAUCAUGGUUCAACAAUGUUAGGUCUUCAGAAUGUACAAGCCAUUAGCAGCUGUCAAUCAUUUCUGGAUACUACUGUGCUGCAUGAAGCCAUUCAUUGCAAGAGUAAAAAUUUCAAUCCUUUGAUUAGUAAUCUUAGUUCUGCUACCCUUGUGCGUUCUCCCGCUAAAGGAGUCAGCAGUUGUUCUUUCUCUUGGAAUUGGCUGAGUCAACUGAAAACCUAUAAACUCUCUCAGCAUGCUACUUCAUAUAGAUUGCUGUGCCGGUCACAAGAUGCUACUUCACCUGAAAAUGAGUAUCGCUCCUCCCGAAAUAUAGCCAUCAGCCUGUUCAGGCGAUACAAGAAUUUUCUUGAGCGCGGAGGAGGUGACAACUUAAAAGAGUUCAUCAGUGCUGGUGUGAAUGCAUAUGCUUUGGGAUGUACUGAUGAAGGAUUGAGGAAAGAAUUGUUUUCAUUGAAGGAAUCAGGUGUUGAAAUUGAAGCCAUGGAAACAUAUGGAGGAAGUACCAGCCUGAAGUCCAAGAUUUUAUCUGAGGAGGUUGAUGAGUGUAUUAUGUGGUUGAGCAUUAUAUUCAUCACCAUCCUAUGUACACCUCAACCAACUAUAGUUCGAUGGUCAUCCACAUCCCCAGUUUCUGAUGAAAUGAUAGUCCAGUGGAAGGGCUUCUGUGCAAUUAUAGCAAAUGCAUACUUUGUGAGAGGAAUGGCAUGGCUUCCAGUGAAGACUCUCCAACUAGAGCAGAUGGCAGUUGCUGGUCAUGCUGAAGAGCCCUCAGUUGUUGCUAGCCGGAUGAGAAUAGUUUUUACCACUCUAGAGAGUAAUCCGGUACUUUUGCUGGUGGGAGAUAACAGUACCCCGUGGAAUUAGACAAAGUGCGCACAAGCUGAUCGGGAUACCACGGUUAUAAAAAUAUAAUAAUGAUGACAAUUAGUGUUAGCGUGGAGAUUAUUCUUGGAUAUAUCCUUCCAUAAGAUGUUAAAAGGUUGUGAGUCCACAGUGGCCUAGAGGAUGAAGCAGCAGAUCCAGAAUUGUACUUCACAAAAAUGAAACAUAGUUCAACAAGUAUAUCUACAUAUCUUUAUGACUAUUUCAUCCAUGCUCUGUUAACAUGAAUAUUCUGUUACAAAAAUGUAUGUUUGACAUGCAAACUUUCAUUAAAUAUUCAGAGAGCAAACUUAAAAGGAUA